rfam:Cedecea davisae DSM 4568 genomic scaffold Scaffold0, whole genome shotgun sequence.
CCAUCAUCACCAUCACCCUGACUAGUCUUUCAGGCGAUUGGUGCUGGGAGACGAAAAGAUCUUCCAGUGGUGCGUGAACGCGAGAUAAAGCCCCCGGAAGAUUUCUUCCGGGGGCUUUUUUUU